rnacentral:rRNA from 1 species
CCUACGGGUGGCUGCAGUGAGGAAUAUUGGUCAAUGGACGCAAGUCUGAACCAGCCAUGCCGCGUGCAGGAAGACGGCUCUAUGAGUUGUAAACUGCUUUUGUACUAGGGUAAACGCUUCUACGUGUAGGAGCCUGAAAGUAUAGUACGAAUAAGGAUCGGCUAACUCCGUGCCAGCAGCCGCGGU